AGGAUAUGAUGAGUGGUCAAAUGCUCACAAUAAUUUUGUGAGAAGGAUGCCUAAGCUCAGCCUGGUUACGACAAUUUAGGCCUUCUCAAUUUUAUCAAUUUGAUCCU
rnacentral:snoRNA from 15 species